GUGCCUGGCACGUAGAGCCCUCUUGUGAAUGCGACAGAGCCAGAUCCUACAGGAAUCUCCACGGAGCCUGUCAACAGGAGAUGUAUUCAAAGUUUCAGUGGUGCCUAAUAAAGACCUCCACAAUGAAGGACAGGGCCCAAAGCAUCACUUUCUGAGACCCAGGUGAGCUUGCCUUUCUCAUCCAUGCCGCAGGUCCUCCGAGAAGGUUGUG
rnacentral:lncRNA from 1 species